GGCAGUUGAGAGAGGCAGAGGUGCCCCCUGGAUCAGAGGCAGUCGGGUCCCAGGGACCACAGAAUUUAUGCUUUGGAAACAGUGUGACACGGCCAGAGCCCCUGCACUCUCCUGUCUGAUUGGCUGCUGCGGGACCCCCAGGCCAUGGUGCACGUGAGGGAGGCUGGGACGCGUCUCCAAGGUUGAGUCUUCAGGCAGGAAGGGUUGGCAUUGAUUUCUUUCUCUUGGGUGCAAAAUGCGGGAAAUCCUGUUGCAAACGAAGGGGGCUCCAUGGUCUCAGAAGUGACAAGAGGGACACAGUCCCCACCAAGGAGAGAGCACAGCUGCCUGCUGCUGCAUCCGGCCAGGCGCUGGCUCCCAGGCUGCUGUGCAGUGUGCACACUCCCUGCCCUGUGGAGUUUUGCAUCCAGCUUAAGACAGCAGAAAGAACCGUGGGUCUGCAUUUCUUCCUCUGUUUCCCAGGUCUCGGGUUGCAAUGAAGUCCUCGUGGGAAGCAAACCACCAAACUCCCCUCCCGUGUCUCUACAAGACAGUUCUGAGCUCAGAUCCGUUCUGUUCCCUUUUGGUGUUUUGUGGACUUUGAAUUCCAACAGCCCUCAUCUGUGUGCAGUUAAGAAUGUCUACUGAUUUCAGAAGGAAGUCUUCAGUCGGGCCCUCUGCGACGCGGCUCUCCUUUAAUCCGUCUUUGGUGGGCAUCGGCAGCAACGCUUCUUUCUUGGAGGAAACAUAUAAGAGCCAAAAUUUAUCGGGAUCCCAGAUUUUUUAAGUUAAAAGCUCACCUGGGUCUCAUCUGACCCAUGACUCCACCAACUCUGUCCAACAAGAAAGGAAAACAUCCUCAGAGCAAGAGCGGACUUGUCCAACUGGCGGGAUGGCGGAGAUUCCAAAUCUGGAGGACCGUGACCUGGAGGUGUCCCCGGCAGCACACGUCUGCACGCCCAGCACCUGGGCCGGGCAGUGAACGGCGGGGUAAUUCUAGAGGAGCAGGGAGCGGAGCACGGUUUGGUUUUCCUGGGGUGACAACUGGGACUCUUGUUUCCCGGGUUCUAACCAGCAGGCUCCCAUAUCCUGAGGCCUUGCUUGGCAGGUGCGAGCCCUCAUGGACUGCUGGGCCCCAGCCCCCGUCCAGGCUCAGCCCUCCCUUCUCACACCCGCGGCCAGGUGGGGGGCAGUGGCUUUCCUGGCCGCAGUGGCCGCAGCUCAUGCAAGGGGGCGGGCUGCUUUUCCCUCCUCCAGGGCGGCGCUCCAGGGCCGCCUCCGCGGGCGCGUGCCAGGCAGUCCAGGAGCUCCCUCUUCCUCUCACCAGACUGCCAAUGAGCAGAAAUGGCAUUAGAACCCAGUAUUAGGGGAAAUAGUUUGCCCCCUGGGUUUCCCUGCGGUGCCUCCCUCCUCGCCUCCGCGCCUCUAAGAACCUUCGUGGGGGAUGGGAGAGAUCCACGUGUCCAGGGGCAGCAGAAGCCUGGAGCCCUGCUGGCUUCUCAGAAGGGCCGCAGAGGUAAGGGGCAGGCAGGCAGCGACUGCUGCACUUGCCUGGUGUGCUGGGCGCCCCUUCCUGUCCUGACAGGACAGCGUGACUGGGUGGGUGCUGAGCACCCCGAGGGUCCAGGGCUGCAGGAAGGCCGGCCACCGAGCGAGGACCAUCAUCCUCCAGCUGCCAGGAUGAGGCCGCCUGCAGCAACCAGGGAAGGAGCCAACAGAGGGAGAGGCCUGGCCUUUGAGGAGCCGUUCAGGUCCUCGUCAUCGUGUGUCCCGGGCGAGGCCAAGCUGCGCGGGCACCCUGUGAGUUUACGGGCUGGGCUGACUUACAGCGGAGCUGACUGAGAACGAGACCCCUUCCCACGGCUUCCAGAGCAGACUUGCUGGAGUCCUGUCCAGGCCGAAGACUCUUCCCCUCCUGAGGGAGGCCAGGGAGCCAGGCCCUCUGGCUGCAUCUCAAGGCCCCACAUGAAGCGACCCUGCCUCCUUUCAACCCAUUGGCAUUGUUGGCACACCUUUCCCAAGCUGGCAGGUCGGGCUGGAGGAGAGCCACCGCACUUCAAGACCGAAGGCCAGGUGCACGCCAGGCUCGGUUACCUGCCUACCUUGAAGACUGGUUUCAUGCACAGCUAGUCGGGGGCUUGAUGAGAAAUCUUAGGACUAUUUUAAGAGUUCUAAUCAAUU